CAGUAGCCGCGGUAAUACGUAGGGUGCGAGCGUUAAUCGGAUUUACUGGGCGUAAAGCGUGCGCAGGCGGCCCGUUAAGACAGGUGUGAAAUCCCUGGGCUCAACCUAGGAACUGCGCUUGUGACUGGCGGGCUCGAGUACGGUAGAGGGGGGUGGAAUUCCUGGUGUAGCAGUGAAAUGCGUAGAGAUCAGGGGGAACACCGAUGACGAAGGCAGCCCCCUGGGCCUGUACUGACGCUCAUGCACGAAAGCGUGGGGAGCAAACAGGAUUAGAUACCCCCGUAGUCCCUGUCUCUUAUAU
rnacentral:rRNA from 1 species